UACAGAGGGUGCGAGCGUUGUUCGGAAUUACUGGGCGUAAAGCGCGCGCAGGCGGCUCUUUAAGUCUCGUGGUCAAAUGCCGGGGCUCAACCCCGAGCGUGCCGGGGAUACUGGAGGGCUGGAGACAGGUAGAGGCAAGCGGAAUUCCGGGUGUAGCGGUGGAAUGCGUAGAGAUCCGGAAGAACACCGGAGGCGAAGGCGGCUUGCUGGACCUGGUCCGACGCUGAGGCGCGAAAGCGUGGGGAGCGAACAGG
rnacentral:rRNA from 1 species